UGGCAGGUAUUUCAUGUCAGUGCAGUUUAAUCUGAUUUAUAUAUAUCUGGUAUCCAAAUACCUGGAUGUUGUGGCGGGUAUUUCAUGUCAGUGCAGUUUAAUCUGAUUUAUAUAAAUCUGGUAUCCAAAUACCUGGAUGCUGUGGCAGGUAUUUCAUGUCAGUGCAGUUUAAUCUGAUUUAUAUAAAUCUGGUAUCCAAAUACCUGGAUGAUGUGGCAGGUAUUUCAUGUCAGUGCAGUUUAAUCUGAUUUAUAUAAAUCUGGUAUCCAAAUACCUGGAUGUUGUGGCGGGGAUUUCAUGUCAAUGCAGUUUAAUCUAAUAGUAUCCAAAUACCUGGCAAUACGGGGUCCAUGGUAGCAGCAUCCAAAAUUAGAUCACUAAGCAAAAUGCAGGGGAGUGGAUAUGUUUGGCAAUAUAGUGUGUAUGAAUUUGCUGCAGUUUUUUAAAAAGGUUGUUAUAUGAGUGAUUUUAGUGUAAUGAAAUUUAUUUUCAGAUAUUUACAAAUAAGAAUGGUGUGUUAUUUUUGUAUUUAUUUUUUUUUUCUCCAAGACUUUCUUAUUUACUAUUAACAUUUUCCUCUUAUAUUAGGCAGUUACAUGAUGGCUGAGCAAGGCAGUGUUGAUUUAGACUGGCUUCCGGCCUGUUUUACGGUUCUCACAAAAACCAACACACAAAUCGCAGGAUUUGUUUCAACCGAACAAGAGCUUGAAACUGUUUUGGAGUGCCAUAAGCGGGCAACCAUGACCUCUUUCAAUAUCUGGUCCAAUGACAGGAAAAAAACGAAAAAUCUCCACAUAGAAUUCUUUGGCAGGUGGAGGAUUAUUCAAACAAUGUGCCAUUAAUAGUGACAAAUCGCUUGAUUUACUCCUGUCAACAUGGCAAAGGAAGAAAUCGAAAGACAUCUGAAAAAGUACGUUAUUUUACUCAUCUCUUUUUUUUGCUUUGACUUGACGGUUAUCAUAAUUGUUUAUGU
rnacentral:lncRNA from 1 species